UACGGAGGGUGCAAGCGUUAUCCGGAUUCACUGGGUUUAAAGGGUGCGUAGGUGGGUUGGUAAGUCAGUGGUGAAAGCCCGGAGCUCAACUCCGGAACUGCCAUUGAAACUGUAAGACUUGAGGAUGAGAGAGGUGAGUGGAAUUCCCAGUGUAGAGGUGAAAUUCGUAGAUAUUGGGAAGAACACCGGUGGCGAAGGCGGCUCACUGGCUCAUUACUGACGCUCAGGCGCGACAGCGUGGGGAUCAAACAGG
rnacentral:rRNA from 1 species